AAAGAUGUUAUUAUUCUCAGCCCAUUCUUCAGAAUGUUCUACAAGGGGAAAAAAAAGACAAUAUGUGUUUUCACAUACUGCAAUCCACACUGAAUGUUGAUUCCAUCAAAUGAACAUUGUGGGGGUCACCAAGACAAUCUCAACCACACUGAAAAAACAAAAGGUAACUGCAAAAUGUCUGUAAUAAACAUCUACUUCCUCCAUCUCAAUAUAAAUACAUUUCUAGCACAGUAGAGCCAAAUUAUUAGACAUGAGUAAAAUCGGCAGUCACUUAAAUAUACGGUGAUUAAUGGGACCACCGUGCACUUGUAAUCUAAAAAAACCCUUUUAUGAGACAUUGAAAUUUCAGAAAUACACAUAUUACGCGAGAAAGGUAAUUAAAAAAAAAAGCAAGAACAAAAAACAGCACAUAGUGAACCGCAGAAUGUUACUCCUCCGCAUGCCUGAAAUUCAGUUUCAUGUUUGACUAAAAACCGCUAAAAUGCCCAGUCGCAUCUCCCCAAAAAAAGAAAAUAACAACCCCUCCUUCGUCCUCCUCCUCACUCUCACCUCACUCCUCACUACUUUCCCGCUACAUCUCCCAGUAUAAAACCUCCUCCUCCCCCCCUCCUCCCCCCCACUCCCUGCAUGCCCCAACGCCCCACCUCCAAGAAACCACCACCCGAUCGCCAUCGGAAUCGAUCCAGGAUGUUUCUUUGAUCGCGUCUGUGUUUCUUUUGAGGCCAAGAUUUGAGAUUUUGAUUGGAGGAGGAGGAUGAAGGUGGAUACGGAGAUGGAGAGGCUGNNN
rnacentral:lncRNA from 1 species